UAGCAUCAGUCUAAGCGCAAGUUACUCAAGCUUGCAUGAAAACCAGAUAUACCUUGCAGUCUGUGGCACAAACAGCUAUAAAUAAGCCAGACCAUAAUGGAAAGAGAGCAAGUUUUUACCAUACAGAUCCUGUUCACAUGGACAGAUCUUAUGACUUCAUGUCUGGAGACAAGGGUUAAAAAAUAGAAAACACCAUGCGUGAUUUUAUUAAAGAUACUAAGUGGGGUAUAGCCAAUCUCACUCACAACAAGUAGUUUCAUACUGGCACAGUGCAUGCUGUUUCCAUUAAUGAUUCAAGUUUCAAGUCCAGACAGCUCCCUUAGGAUUAGUACAACUCCUAAGGCAUCCCUCAAGUGCCAGUAGAGACAACUGAGUCAGGAUGUCUGAGCAACAUUAGAAGUGGAUACAGCUGCAGCAAAACAGAUCCACACUGAUUGCUUGGCCAUGCCAACAAUGUUGAUACACCCAGGUUAGCUUGCUCAGAAAUUAUCCAACCUCACCAGCAUCUCAGUGUAUGUGAGAUACUUGGUAAAACAGUGGAUUUCCCAUAGGAAGCUUCAGCAUGGCAGAACAACUGUGGGGUCACUUCACCUGUAAGAUGCCAGUCACAGAUGAAGACUGUCAGCACACUGAGGUCACAGACCAUCAUACCAUGGUCCAGACCUUCUUUUAACCCCUGGGGUGUGCCUAGAGCAAGGAAUUAGGAGAACUAAUUUACCACUAUGUAAUAGGAAAAUUUGAUGUUGGGGGUCUUUUUUUCUGGGCAGACUCUGUUCACACCCACAGCCACUGUAUGCAGCUGCCACAAUAACAUACCACAUAUGACAAGCAGGAGUUGGACUGUGUCACCAAAUGGCAAGACCCUUCUUCUUCCACUGGAGAGAACAUGCUGAAGAAAGACUGAAACCUAACUUUCCUCCUUAUUGGAAAGGUUUGAGUUACGAGGCUACCAGAUGAGAGGCAUGAAAAACCCGGCAUAAAGCUACAGGUUUUGAUGAUGGCUUAAAUUAUUUCUGAAUACUUGGAAAAGAGGGACAAGGAAACAGCCACACUUCCAUUUACCAUCAGUGCAGUAAUUAAAGUUAAAAGCAUCUAAAUAAAACUGAGGAGGAGAGAAGAGGAAGAGAGUUUUACUCAGAAACAAGAAUGCAACAAUUUGAAGAAAACACAGUCAUCUUCUGGACCCAUUUAUUAAAUAUUUAACAUCCACUAAGGUCAAACUCUCCAGCAAGAGGUCCUUAAAUCUGUUGAAAGUGUGCCUGAAAUACUGGAUAUGGCAGUAUGGAGAGAGCAGGGAACUCAGGGAAAACAAUUUUCUUCAAUCUGUAUAAGCAAUCUGUAUAAACCAGUGGCUCUUCUAGACAUGUACUCACAAAGAGGGAAGGGGUAACAAAUCAAUAGAAAAGUGGUAAUAAGCAAAAUUGGUGGUAGCUAUCUAAACUGAGGGAAGAUCUCAGUUUAAUUUAUUUCAUUGUGUUCUUAAAUAGUAGAUGUUUCCCUCAUUAUUUCCUUGAUUCUAACUUGUCUGAGAAGGUUGCUGAAAUUAAUACAGAAAGAAACAAUCAUUUUGCAAUGUUAAACUAAGAUCCUCAGAAAAGGAUUUUUUUCUAAGUUUCUAGUUGCAGGUCUGUUUUGAAAUAAAGUUAUUCUGAGAUAGCUUUCUGUUUUGCAUGAAGACUGUGUCAAUGCAUUUAUGCAUUUAAAGGUGCUGGGUGUGAAAAGCAGAGU